rnacentral:lncRNA from 10 species
CUCCUACCCCCUCCUCCUCUUACAGACUGUGCAUUUACCCUGUUUAGAAAAGUUUAAGUCUUAGCCAGUCAGGAUCAGUUUAGAUUGUGCAGUCCAACCCUAGACACAGGGACAGGAACUGCAUUAGGGAUAAAAACCACUUCUCUCCUUUGUUCAGUGUGCUCUUGCAAUCGUAACUGAUGCAGGCAGCACCCUUCUGCAGAAGCAAAUUGCCUUGCUGAGAAAAAUUUUGCGUAAGUGCUGGUUCUUCCCUGCAGCACCGAGCAUUUGUUUCCAACAAGCCUGGGGGCUCAUCUGGGAUUCCCAUUCUCCUCCAGGGAAGGGUCUCAGAUCACCUCUUGUGGGGAGAUACAUCCAGCUGCCUCAUUGUGGUGGUCUCAGGGGUAAGGAAUCGAGACCCAACCAGCGUGACAAAUAAACAUGGAUCCUCAGCAACAUGGGAAGAAAAGGCCUACAGAUACCGGGGUGACCAGGUAACUCUAUGCACAGACCAAGAACAAGAAAUUUGGACACACAAAGAAAAGACACCAAGUGCACGAGUACCCAGAAGGACAACCAUGUGAAGAGGCAGUGAGAAGGUGCCACCUGCAAGCCCAGGAGAGAAGUUGCCACCUGCAAGCCCAGGAGAGAAGUUUUGGAAGAAACCACACCUGCUGACACCUUGGUCUCCAACUUCCAGUCCCAGAGUGAGAAGAAAAUAAGGCCCAUAAGUGGGUAAAUGUUCCUAAGGACAAAGAUAUCUAUAAAUCUGCAGAGUGUACAUCUGUAAGAAUAGAAGACUGAUUCCUCGCUCACAUCCUCACUGAUCUAAUAACUACUCUGGCUUCCAAGAUGCUUCAAAAACUAAACUCAGCAAAAAGU